rnacentral:rRNA from 1 species
GACGAACGCUGGCGGCGUGCUUAACACAUGCAAGUCGAACGAUGACGACCGAGCUUGCUCGGUCUGAUUAGUGGCGAACGGGGGAGUAACACGUGAGCAACCUGCCCUUCACUCUGGGAUAACCUCGGGAAAUCGGGGCUAAUACCGGAUAUGAGCUCCUGUCGCAUGGCGGGUGUUGGAAAUUUUUCCGGUGCAGGAUGGGCUCGCGGCCUAUCAGUUUGUUGGUGAGGUAGGGGCUCACCAAGGCGAUGCCGGGUAGCCGCCCUGGGAGGGCGACGGGCCACACUGGAACGAGGGAACGGCCCGGACUCCUACGGGGGGAAGCGGUGGAAAUAUUGCACAAUGGGCGAAAGCCUGAUGCAGCGACGCCGCGUGAGGGAUGACGGCCUUCGGGUUGUAAACCUCUUUCAGCAGGGAAGAAGCGAAAGUGAAGGUACCUGCAGAAGAAGCGCCGGCUAACUACGUG